AAAAUGCUACUGAAUAAACAUUUUGCAUUUGGUUAUAUUAUUACUAACUAGAAUGUAAAAAAAAGAAAAGAAAAAAAACAACACAUGAAAAUAACCAACUGCUUUUAAGGCCCUGCCUUGUUCAGGGCCAAGCAUUAAUCAAUAACAAACAAGGCAGGCCAUAGAGAAAAAGGACGAUUGGCCUUUUGCAAAAAUGCUGAAUCACAGGUAUGAUUGAUAGGGUUUGUGGUUGUUUUAAUGCUCACCCUGGCUGCGCCUCACAGUUUUUAACCCUACAGCAGUACUGGUAUCAAAACAUUUUUUAUUAUUUUCUUUCUUUUUUUAAAUUUUUUUUUAAGUAAACUGAUAUUUAAAGAAAUUGGUUGAAUUCACGUCUCUUUCAUGACAUGCAAAUUAGGAAUAGUGUAUUCCUGAUUUUACAAUGGGAUGGAAAUCCAUUUGUCAAUUGGUAUUAUUUUCAGUAAGUGAACACUCACUAUAUAUUUGACCUUGUGCCAAGGGCACACUUUCAUUUUUUUAACACUAUUAGUCUGUUAACAGUGUAUAGCUGACUUUAGAGAUAAUGUAUAAAUAAGACUUAUAAACACACAUAAUUAUUAAUACACUAACAGAGAUAUUUACCUUAACAUUUUGUUGAAAUAAUUCUAUCAGGCCUAUACGAUGAAGAAACAGGAACGUUUUCAUUCCCAUCGUCGGAUCCUUUAACACUGGCUUUAAAGAGGGGGUUGGGUUGCAACGCCUAAAAGGAAGAAAACGACAAUAACCAUUUUUCUGCCUUCGUUUUUCGACAUAAUUCACCAUUUAACACACCAAUCUGCGCAGUCUCCAACGAGUGGAGCUGCUGGAAAUCUUGAGGCACUUUUAGAUAUUGCAAUAUGCAAACAAUCCCUCUCUUUCUCUUCCUGAAGACAGAAUGACAAGAGAAAUUCACUCGCUUGCACUUCAUCAUCAUUCAGAAGAAAGAAAAUGUCCUUUUUCUUUUCGAAGGUAAUAGUUUAUGCGACCUUAUUUGACAACAUGACUUGGGAAUUACUGUUUUUAACAGGUAACAUUAAAAUCAUAUUUAUGUUUAAAACUCAUUUUUAAAAAUUCAAGUAUUGUUUUCCUGUGGGGAUAAUUUUGAGGAUAAAAAGAGAUAUAAAGGUGUAAAAAAUCAUUAUUCUAGACACCUCUCGUUGCUGACCCAUGUCCAGAGCGACCUCAGAAAUAGCCUGUUGUUUAAUGGCUUCUCUGCUGUUCUCAUUUUCAACAUGGCGUCUUCACAAGUGGAAAAGAAAGGCUGCUGCGCCAUUUAUGGGCGAGGCUGUCGGUCGCUGUUUCAGCUGAUUCUGCCUUUAUACGUGGCAACCAUUACAAACACAAACUGACUAGAUGUGGUCAGAGGGGCUUGCUGUUUGAGAAGCGAGGAUAUUGCUCAAACUCGCAGUAAUAUCUCGUGCGCAACACGCGCCCUCGACGCUGCUGCGCAAGGCGCUGGAAACCCUGUGGCACAAAAGCACACAGCAGUAAUCUGAGAGCUUGGACGCAUGCCACGGGUCCGGGAUGUGAGUGACUGCACCCACCUAACCAUUUAAGGUCGGAGAAAGGCUCUCAAACACUGUGUGGCAUUUCAAUCAGCAAGUACAAAGGGAAUAUCCAGUCCUCUGUGCUCUCUCUCUCUCGUCCCCCUUUCAGAACAUUCGGUACAGUUUAUUCGCCAGCCAUUCAGAGGAUCAUUUGACGUGAUGCAUGCAGGAUUGCGCACUACUUAGCUUUCUCAGAUCAUCUGGUGAAUAUAUCACAGUGUUGCAACACAUACCGGUAUGUGGUAUGCAAAUUGUCGUGUUUUGCACAAUUUAUGGCUAUGCAAUUUUGUAUAUGUAUGUUAUUCCAUAUAUCUUAUAUGGAGAACGGACAGAUUUAUUACCCAAGCAUCUCAUCAUUGGAAUUUGGUCAUUGCCUCUUUGUUUUGUUUUUCUCUCUCUUUCCCCUUCUUUCUGUGCGUUUGGGGCGACGCCAGGUCCAAUUUAUCAACCAGAAUGGUAUUGCGCAAGGAAACGCACCAUCUGUCUUUCGCUUUUAGGAUUCACGCUUGUUAUUGCAUGCACACCAAUACGAUUUUGUCUUUCUGCCAUAGUCUAAAACAGGACUGGUGUCCGAAUAUGCCUGAAAAAAGGACCGAAGACGUGGUGACCACAUCGUUUCCUGCCGCCCAGGGCUGAAGUGGGUCAUGAGGCCAUUUUAUGGCACUCGUGUGUUUAAUUAGGAAAAUCCUCUUUAUCUUCGUAACCUGCGAACGCAAGCUGUUUCUAAGGGCUUAAAGAGAUCUCAGUCGACACCAGUUUAUAUAUUUUAGUUUAUUUGUUGUCGUUGUUGUUAGGUUACUCGAUAUGCAGACGCGUAAAGCUUCAUUUGUGCUCUGGACAGCUGGAUUGGAUCCUCGAUAAAUUUCGACAUUCAGCUUCGCCAUUUAAGCUAUUUGAGCUUUAAUUAGUCUAUAGGGCAUUCUUGAAAAGUUCAUUCUUAAGAUAGCUACUCUUGUUUAAAUUUUUUUUUUUUUUUUUUUUUUUUAAAUAUUUUAAUGUAAUAUAGAGGAUGUCUGAAAUUUAAAUUAAACAGGAUUUUUGAUGGCAGUAAUGUGUAAAUUUUCUUUUUAAUGUUCCUUUUUUUAAUCUGAAAUCUGAGGAAACACUGAACAGAAACGACGGUGCGCAAUUCUCAACGUGGACAAUUAUUUUAAUAACAUUUUACUUUUUUAACAUUUUCUUAUUUAGAAUUGUGAUAAAGAUGUAUUGUAAUAUCUAUAUUUAUACUGUGGUAAGUAUAUUUACAAAGAGAUGCUGCACUCACCUAAAUGUUUUUAUAUCGUAAUAAAUAUAACUUUGUUCUUACAUGCAUAUUUCGUCUUGUAUUUAUUGUUAAGAUGUUUAGUUAUAUUUCUAUUUUUUUCCUUAUCCUCAUAAUAAGCUGUUUCCUCGAAACGGAGUUGACGCUCUGUUUUAACACUCAUUUAGCCUACUUUUUAUUUAUUAUUUGGCUGUGUGUGAACUGAUAAAUGACGGAGCCCAAAGGCCCAUAUGGUGGAAACAGGCACAUCCGUGUAUCGCUGCUGUAGGCCGCUUUUGUCCUUCGUUAUUGGAUUAAUGCUUCUUGUUUGGUUACGUACCAUAAUGGCAAUCCAUAUAAAGUAUGCUGUGAUAACAUUUGGGCUUCGUAAUUAAUUAUAGUAGUUCCUCUUUCGUCGUGUUUGGAAAGUAAAUCUUCACAGUUGUGACGAGAGACAGUCAUAACAUGACGCCUCCUAUCUGUGAGGAAUGAGAGGAAAAAAAGCAACAACCUUUUCUAGUCUCUCAUUGGCUGCGAUACAUUAACAGUCACCCAUUGGCCAUUGGUAAAAUAAAUUAAGCAAUUAUGUGGUUAUACUCACUGGAGCCAUAAAGAAAAUAUUAAAGACAAUACAUUUUCAUUAAAAUGUCACUAUGAUUAAUUAAGUGCCAUCUGAAGAUCCAGUCAAGAUAAUUUAUAUAGUAGGCUAUUUAUACAUUUCAUAAACAAAGACAAAGUCCAUUUAAAAUCAUUUAAGAACACACACAUUAAGUAAAUUAAGAUAAAGUUUGUUUGUAAACAAAUGAAAAAUAAACAAGCAUAAAUGGCUAUUUAGAUCAUGAUUGCUUUGCAUUUUUAAAGUGUGAGUUUGAACUGAAUGCUCAUUUUGAAUUCUUAUUGUUAAUAUUGAAAUAAGUAUUUUUAAAUAAAAAGUACUAAUCAAUGCAUGUACUAUCCAUCAAUGUUUAUAGGCAGUUUUUUGUAAUGAGCAGGGUUUUAAUGUCUAUACAGACAUUAACAAAAACUCUAAACAUUAAAAUGAAAAAUAAAAACAACUUCAAAACAGUAGUCUAAAAAAACAAUAAUAGUGUCUCAGUAAUACUAAAACAACACGGCAUUGUAAAAAAGACUUGUUGGUUUAACUUAAAAAAGUAAGUCACCUGGUUGCCUUAAAAUUUUGAGUUCAUUGAAAUUAAAAAUUUGAGUUAAUACUAUGAAGGCGAUUGGUUUAAUCAACAGCGACUCAAAAUAUUAUGUUAUCUGAACCACAUUAAUUAAGUUGUUAAUAAUUAUUACAGUGGUAAUGGGUGUGUAAAUCAUUUUUAGUUAUGUAAUUGUUAUUAUUAAUGUAAAAUCACCAUAAUUAGUGCUGUCAAAUGAUUAAUCGCGAUUAAUUGCAUACAAAAUAAAAGUUUGUGUUUACAUAA